GGAUUUUCGCGUUUUCGGAGCCUAAUUUCAUUGGAAACGGGUCAACGAUCAAAAGUCACCAGCGCUGCGCUCGUGAGCUGCAGGGUUUUUUGGUCAAAUUUUAUCGUUUGGGCCUCUAAAAGUACAUUUUAUUGUUUUCAGGUUAUUUUUGUAAUUUUCCCUAUUAGUUUUUCUUUUCCGUUUUGGAUUCCGCUUUUAAGGUUUUGCUAUAGAAACGUUUUUUUAUGAUGGGAUGCAACAGUUUUGGUAAACUAGUGCUGGUAUGAUCGCACCCGUUAGGAUUCUCCAUUUUUAU
rnacentral:lncRNA from 1 species